UGAUCAACUUCCAGCUCAGCUCAGAGAAGAUGAAGGGACUCUUCUAGAUUAGCCAAGCACAUUGGUGGAUCUGGAACCCAGUUAUUCCGAGAGCCCACUCGACAAAAAAGAGAACAAAAACAGCCAACACCAUCGACCCUGUGCCAAUCACUGUGCUAGCUCUGCACUCAUGGUGUCAAGAUAGCUGCAGUGAUUCCAGACCUCACAGCUUCACACCAGACUGUCUGCAAAUAGACAAGAGGUCCCAGUAGCUCCUUUGCAUUCUGGGAUAUGAAGUCUCAUUGCCUAUACCUGAACCAGUUGCUUUGGCCAGGGUGGAGAUGGGUUGCACUCAUUUGGAUUAAACUCACCAUCACUUGCCUUCGGUUUUCUCCCCUGU
rnacentral:lncRNA from 1 species